rnacentral:rRNA from 1 species
GAUGAACGCUGGCGGCGUGCCUAAUACAUGCAAGUCGAGCGAACAGACGAGGAGCUUGCUCCUUUGACGUUAGCGGCGGACGGGUGAGUAACACGUAGGUAACCUACCUAUAAGACUGGGAUAACUUCGGGAAACCGGAGCUAAUACCGGAUCAUAUUUCGAACCGCAUGGUUCGAUAGUGAAAGAUGGCUUUGCUAUCACUUAUAGAUGGACCUGCGCCGUAUUAGCUAGUUGGUAAGGUAACGGCUUACCAAGGCAACGAUACGUAGCCGACCUGAGAGGGUGAUCGGCCACACUGGAACUGAGACACGGUCCAGACUCCUACGGGAGGCAGCAGUAGGGAAUCUUCCGCAAUGGGCGAAAGCCUGACGGAGCAACGCCGCGUGAGUGAUGAAGGUCUUCGGAUCGUAAAACUCUGUUAUUAGGGAAGAACAAACGUGUAAGUAACUGUGCACGUCUUGACGGUACCUAAUCAGAAAGCCACGGCUAACUACGUG